rfam:Epulopiscium sp. Nele67-Bin004 Nele67MMBin003_130, whole genome shotgun sequence.
CCUGUGGAGAGUUAUAUCAAAUGUUAGUAGGGGGAAAGUGCUGAGGACAGACUCUAUGAAGCAGGAA